rnacentral:rRNA from 1 species
AGAGUUUGAUCAUGGCUCAGGAUGAACGCUGGCGGCGUGCUUAACACAUGCAAGUCGAACGAGGUCCAUCCAAACUUGUUUGGGGAAGACCUAGUGGCGAACGGGUGCAUAACACGUGAGAAACCUGCCUCAGUCUCUGGGAUAACAGUUGGAAACGACUGCUAAUACCGGAUGCCGUCACACCAUCACAUGUUGGAAUGACGAAAGAUUUAUCGGACUGAGAGGGUCUCGCGGCCUAUCAGCUAGUUGGAGAGGUAACGGCUCACCAAGGCAUCGACGGGUAGCUGGUCUGAGAGGACGAUCAGCCACACUGGGACUGAGACACGGCCCAGACUCCUACGGGAGGCAGCAGUGGGGAAUCUUGCGCAAUGGGCGAAAGCCUGACGCAGCCAUGCCGCGUGAAUGAUGAAGGUCUUAGGAUUGUAAAGUUCUUUCGCUCGUGACGAUGAUGACGGUAACGAGAGAAGAAGCCCCGGCUAACUUCGUGCCAGCAGCCGCGGUAAUACGAAGGGGGCUAGCGUUGUUCGGAAUUACUGGGCGUAAAGCGCGCGUAGGCGGUUUUGCAAGCCAGAGGUGAAAUGCCUGAGCUCAACUUAGGAAUUGCCUUUGGGACUGCGAGGCUUUGAGGACUGGAGAGGUGAGUGGAAUUCCCAGUGUAGAGGUGAAAUUCGUAGAUAUUGGGAAGAACACCAGUGGCGAAGGCGGCUCACUGGCCAGUUUCUGACGCUGCAGCGCGAAAGCGUGGGGAUCAAACAGGAUUAGAU